CCAGAGCUGGACAGAGUAUUCCAGAAGAGGCCUCCCCAACAUCUUGUACAUCCUCAACAUAACGUCCCAACUCCUGUACUCCAAGGUCUGAACAAUCAAGAUCCCAGUGAUUAAUGCCAAAGCCCUGUUGCCUGGGGAGAGGGUGAUGUUUGACUUUCUUGUACAGCUGCAGUCUGUGUGGUGAAGGUGCUCCCACAAUGUGGUUGGGAUGAGGCUAUCACUGGCUCGGCCAGCAUUUAUUGCUGCGUUUACCCAGUGGGCAGUUAAGAAUCAACCACGUUGCUAUAGGUCUGGAGUCCCAUGCAGACCAGACC